GAGGGAUCAGACCUUGUGUAUUUUGUGAGGGAGACCUGCACAUAGCCAGUCACAAUACACACAAUACCAGAUGGACCUACAGCCACAACCAACCACCUGACAGUAAGGUUGACCCUAACACUGACCUGUUGAGGUAGUUGACCCUAACACUGACCUGUUGAGGUAGUUGACCCUAACACUGACCUGUUGAGGUAGUUGACCCUAACACUGACCUGUUGAGGUAGUUGACCCUAU